CAGCAGCCGCGGUAAUACGAAGGGUGCAAGCGUUAAUCGGAAUUACUGGGCGUAAAGCGUGCGUAGGCGGUGAGUUAAGUCUGCUGUGAAAUCCCCGGGCUCAACCUGGGAAUGGCAGUGGAUACUGGCUCGCUAGAGUGUGUCGGAGGAUGGUAGAAUUCCAGGUGUAGCGGUGAAAUGCGUAGAGAUCUGGAGGAAUACCGGUGGCGAAGGCGGCCCCCUGGACAAAGACUGACGCUCAGGUGCGAAAGCGUGGGGAGCAAACAGGAUUAGAUACCCCUGUAGUCCCUGUCUCUUAUAC
rnacentral:rRNA from 1 species